rnacentral:rRNA from 1 species
GAUGAACGCUAGCGGCAGGCUUAAUACAUGCAAGUCGAACGGUAAGGUCUCUUCGGAGAUACACGAGUGGCGCACGGGUGCGUAACGCGUAUGCAACCUACCUUUAACUGGGAAAUAGCCCCGAGAAAUCGGGAUUAAUGUCCCAUAUUAUUCUUUAAAUGCCUAUUUGAAGAAUGAAAGCUCCGUCGGUUAUUGAUGGGCAUGCGUGACAUUAGCUAGUUGGUGAGGUAACGGCUCACCAAGGCAACGAUGUCUAGGGGUCCUGAGAGGGUUAACCCCCACACUGGUACUGAGACACGGACCAGACUCCUACGGGAGGCAGCAGUAAGGAAUAUUGGGCAAUGGACGCAAGUCUGACCCAGCCAUGCCGCGUGAAGGAUGAAUGUCCUAUGGAUUGUAAACUUCUUUUAUGCAGGAAAAACAUUUCGGUCGAGCACCGGGACUGAUGGUACUGCAUGAAUAAGCAUCGGCUAACUCCGUGCCAGCAGCCGCCGUAAUAC